GCUCGCAUGGCGUAGUGGUAUCGUAUCCUACUCUGACAGACUUAGUACUAGCCGUCUUAUGGCAAGAACGGCUGGCUUAGAUCUAGGGACUUCGAUAGUUCAAAUCCAUCUGUGAACA
rfam:Pyronema omphalodes CBS 100304, CBS100304, WGS project CATG01000000 data, contig: Pcon_v1_contig809